rnacentral:rRNA from 1 species
UUAUUCGCCGAUUCCCCUUAGAGUUUGAUCCUGGCUCAGGAUGAACGCUGGCAGCGUGCCUAAUACAUGCAAGUCGAACGGGGUGCAGCAAUGUACCUAGUGGCGACCGGGUGCGUAACACGUAGCCGACCUGCCCUCUAGCGGGGGACAACAGUUCGAAAGGGCUGCUAAUACCGCAUGAGCUUGGGAGGACUAGAAUCUCUCAAGGAAACUUACGGGGCUAGAGGAGGGGGCUGCGGCCCAUCAGGUAGUUGGUGAGGUAGCGGCUCACCAAGCCGACGACGGGUAGGGGGCCUGAGAGGGUGGUCCCCCACACUGGGACUGACACACGGCCCAGACUCCUACGGGAGGCAGCAGUAAGGGAUAUUGCGCAAUGGGCGAAAGCCUGACGCAGCAACGCCGCGUGGAGGAUGACGGCCUUCGGGUUGUAAACUCCUUUUGGGGCUGACGAGGAAGGACGGUAAGCCUCGAAGAAGUCACGGCUAACUACGUGCCAGCAGCCGCGGUAAAACGUAGGUGGCGAGCGUUAUCCGGAUUUACUGGGCGUAAAGCGUGUGCAGGCGGGGUGUCAAGUGGUGCAUGAAAUCGCUCGGCUUAACCGGGCGGGGUUGUGCCAGACUGAUGCUCUGGAGUGCGGGAGAGGGGCGUGGAAUUCCGGGUGUAGUGGUGAAAUGCGUAGAGAUCCGGAGGAACCCCAGAGGCGAAGGCGGCGCCCUGGCCCGACACUGACGCUCAGACACGACAGCAUGGGGAGCGAACGGGAUUAGAAACCCCGGUAGUCCAUGCCGUAAACGAUGCCGACUAGGCGCUGGGGGUCUCAACCCCCUCGGUGCCGUAGGAAACCCGCUAAGUCGGCCGCCUGGGGAGUACGGCCGCAAGGCUAAAACUCAAAGGAAUUGACGGGGGCCCGCACAAGCAGCGGAGCGUGUGGUUUAAUUCGAGGCUACACGAAGAACCUUACCUGGGUUUGACAUGGCGCUAGUAGGGAAGCGAAAGCCGACCGACCCGCAAGGGAGGCGUCACAGGUGCUGCAUGGCUGUCGUCAGCUCGUGCCGUGAGGUGUUAGGUUAAGUCCUGUAACGAGCGCAACCCCCGGGUCUAGUUACACGUUGUCUAGACCGACUGCCCGUGACAAGCGGGAGGAAGGUGGGGACGACGUCAAGUCAGCAUGGCCUUUAUAUCCAGGGCGACACACACGCUACAAUGGCCGGUACAAUGGGUCGCCAAGCCGCAAGGCGGAGCCAAUCCAGACAAAGCCGGUCUCAGUUCGGAUUGGGGGCUGCAACUCGCCCCCAUGAAGUCGGAGUUGCUAGUAACCGCCGGUCAGCUAUACGGCGGUGAAUACGUUCCCGGGCCUUGUACACACCGCCCGUCACGUCAUGGGAGCUGGUCAUGCCUGAAGCCAGGUCGCGAACCGCAAGGGCGCUACUGUCCAAGGCAGGGCUGGUGACUGGGACGAAGUCGUAACAAGGUAACC